AAAGACUAGUCUAACUAAGACAGCUAAUUUCGACUUAGCUAAUCCCACCUCCGUGGGGUCUUUU
rnacentral:tRNA from 2 species